UACAGAGGUCCCGAGCGUUGUUCGGAUUCACUGGGCGUAAAGGGUGCGUAGGUGGUUGGGUAAGUCUGAUGUGAAAUCUCCGGGCUCAACCCGGAAAUGGCAUUGGAUACUAUUCGGCUAGAGGUUUUGGAGGGGACUGGAAUUCUCGGUGUAGCAGUGAAAUGCGUAGAUAUCGAGAGGAACACCAGUGGCGAAGGCGAGUCCCUGGACAACACCUGACACUGAGGCACGAAAGCUAGGGGAGCAAACAGG
rnacentral:rRNA from 1 species